GUCACUGCUAUUGGUGUCCGGCUAAGCCAUGCGAGUGGUGGGCGCGGUCGCAAGAUCGUGGCCCCGCAUACGGCUCAGUAACACGUCGUCAACCUACCCUCGAGUCUGGGAUAACCUCGGGAAACUGAGGACAAUCCCGGAUGGGCGAGGGAUGCUGGAAUGCUUCCUCGCUUAAAGCUCCGGCGCUCGAGGAUGGGACGGCGGCCUAUCAGGUAGUUGGUGGUGUGACGGACCACCAAGCCUACGACGGGUACGGGCGAUGGGAGUCGGAGCCUGGAGAUGGGGACUGAGACAAGGCCCCAGGCCCUACGGGGCGCAGCAGGCGCGAAAACUCCGCAAUGCGCGAAAGCGUGACGGGGGGACCCCAAGUGCCGCUGUACUUUGUACGGCGGCUUUUCAGGAGUGUAAGGAGCUCCUGGAAUAAGGGCUGGGUAAGUCUGGUGCCAGCCGCCGCGGUAAUACCAGCAGCCCAAGUGGUGGUCGCGUUUAUUGGGCCUAAAGCGCUCGUAGCCGGGCCGGUAAGUCCCUUGUGAAAUCGGACGGCUUACCGUUCGGCGUGCAAGGAUCUGUCGG
rnacentral:rRNA from 1 species